GAAGCUUUAGUUGGGCGAUUUUAUCGGAUUGGGCUCUGUGUUUAACUUAGGAUCCUUGUGUAUGGAAAUACUGUAUCUCAUGUUUCCUCAUUAGAAAUUUCUUUGAUAAUCACAUUUUCAAGGAAGCUGCCCAUAUGCCUUUCUCUUCUAUUUUGAAAGAAGAUACUUUGUAAGAAUUUAUUGCUACAAUUCCCUCUUAUGUUAGUUUUAGCAUCCACUAAAUAUACUC
rnacentral:lncRNA from 1 species